rnacentral:lncRNA from 13 species
AUGAAUUGGAAUUUCAUUUAGAGUUGUCCAACACAGAUAAAAUUCAAAGGCUUACAUUAUACCAGCAUUAUCAAAUCAUCGUCACCUCUCAGCUGGGUGAUUGCAGUAGUUUCCCGCCUACUGCUGUUACCGGGAAGGGGUCUCAAUCCAGAUCCUAAGAGAGGGUUUAUGGAUUUCACUCAAGAAAGAAUAUGAGAAACAUCACCACAGAAAAGACACAGAAGAGUCUCAUGGUCGGAUUCUCUUUGCUCUCCACUUACAGCCACAGACUUUUCCUCAAAUCUCCUAAUACCAAUCUCCAGCAC